AGAGUUUGAUCCUGGCUCAGGAUGAACGCUAGCGGCAGGCUUAACACAUGCAAGUCGAGGGGUAGAAGGAGCUUGCUCCUUUGAGACCGGCGCACGGGUGCGUAACGCGUAUGCAAUCUACCUUGUACAGGGGGAUAGCCCAGAGAAAUUUGGAUUAAUACCCCAUAGUGUAACGAAAAGGCAUCUUUUUGUUACUAAAGUUCCAACGGUACAAGAUGAGCAUGCGUCCCAUUAGCUAGUUGGUGUGGUAACGGCAUACCAAGGCAACGAUGGGUAGGGGUCCUGAGAGGGAGAUCCCCCACACUGGUACUGAGACACGGACCAGACUCCUACGGGAGGCAGCAGUGAGGAAUAUUGGUCAAUGGGCGCAAGCCUGAACCAGCCAUGCCGCGUGCAGGGUGACGGUCCUAUGGAUUGUAAACUGCUUUUGUACAGGAAGAAACACUCCCUCGUGAGGGAGCUUGACGGUACUGUAAGAAUAAGGAUCGGCUAACUCCGUGCCAGCAGCCGCGGUAAUACGGAGGAUCCAAGCGUUAUCCGGAAUCAUUGGGUUUAAAGGGUCCGUAGGCGGUUUUAUAAGUCAGUGGUGAAAUCUGGUCGCUCAACGAUCAAACGGCCAUUGAUACUGUAGAACUUGAAUUACUUGGAAGUAACUAGAAUAUGUAGUGUAGCGGUGAAAUGCUUAGAGAUUACAUGGAAUACCAAUUGCGAAGGCAGGUUACUACGAGUAUAUUGACGCUGAUGGACGAAAGCGUGGGGAGCGAACAGGAUUAGAUACCCUGGUAGUCCACGCCGUAAACGUUGGGUGCUAGGUGUCGCGGGUAUUGACCCCUGCGGUGCCGACGCUACGCAUUUAGCACCCCGCCUGGGGAGUACGGUCGCAAGGCUAAAACUCAAAGGAAUUGACGG
rnacentral:rRNA from 1 species